rnacentral:lncRNA from 1 species
UUAGUCUACAGGAGUGAGGAAGUCUGAAGAUCAAAGCUCCCACCUACAAACAGUAGACAGCGCUGACUAUCUUUAUUUUAUCAUCUGUGCCUCAGUGCUGCUUCUUCAGAGUAGUGCAACCUUGUUCCAGAUUCAAAAGUGUUGAAGACAGAUGUCUGAACAUUGUGGGAAAUGAAGCAAGCUGAACACCCUUGCUGAAUCAGAGAGUGAACAGCUGUGUAGCUGUGUGGAGACCAGUGACCGGGCUUCAUUCUGCACCAAUGGAGGUAGGGACCCUCUCUCUCCUUCUCUAUUUAUACACUUACCCUUACUUUUACAGGGCAUCUCGCUACUCCCUCCCUGCCAAAAACUUCAGUUAGUAUCAGUUAAAAGAUUCAGUGGUGGUAGUUGGUAAGGUGGAAUAGUGCUGGCUCCUUGUUUGAGAAAACAUCAUGAGAAAACUCUGAAUACAUACUGCUCUUGAAUAGUAUAGACCAUAUCUCUAUUCCAGUUUGAGGCAUUGGACACUUCCUUCUCUGCUAGAGCACUGGUCUGGAGGACACCUGUGGGUUACUGAAGCCCUCAUGUGUUCAGGUUUUAAUGGACUCAGCCAUGCAUAUCAGAGUCAGCAAGGCAUUGUUCAUUAUCUGUGUGCCCUAACAUAAGUUGACUUUAAGAAAGCCAUUCAUGCAGUAUGGGAUAUUUGAAGCAGUCAUUCUACACAUGCUCUCCGCUUGUAUUUGUUUUAGAGUGAAAGGAAUGAGCGUUGGGUAGACUUUCAUAUGCAGCACUUAUAAACUGUAUUGUGUUUAGGUAUGAUUCACUAUGAGGCUAUAUAUUAAGACAACAUUAAUUUUCCAGAACUGUUUAAAAUAGUUGAACUGUGUGUGUGCAAACUUUAUUACAAGAGUUAUUAGUUAAACUGGGUGUGACAAACAAAAGCUCUAUUCAGUGUUAAAUCGGGGCACUCAUCGAUUAUUGAAAGCAAUACCUUUUACCUCUACAUGAUGGUUUCAUUUCUUCCAAGAAGAAGUAGACAUCCCUCUAUGUGACACGUCCUCUAUCAGCAAUGUAAGCAGCCCUAAUGAAGGCCAAGCCUGGUCUGUCUG